rnacentral:rRNA from 1 species
UGGGGAAUAUUGGACAAUGGGCGAAAGCCUGAUCCAGCAAUGCCGCGUGAGUGAUGAAGGCCUUAGGGUUGUAAAGCUCUUUUACCAGGGAUGAUAAUGACAGUACCUGGAGAAUAAGCUCCGGCUAACUCCGUGCCAGCAGCCGCGGUAAUACGGAGGGAGCUAGCGUUGUUCGGAAUUACUGGGCGUAAAGAGUACGUAGGCGGUUAUUCAAGUCAGAGGUGAAAGCCUGGAGCUCAACUCCAGAACUGCCUUUGAAACUAGAUAGCUAGAAUCUUGGAGAGGUGAGUGGAAUUCCGAGUGUAGAGGUGAAAUUCGUAGAUAUUCGGAAGAACACCAGUGGCGAAGGCGACUCACUGGACAAGUAUUGACGCUGAGGUACGAAAGCGUGGGGAGCAAACAGGAUUAGAUACCCUGGUAGUCCACGCCGUAAACGAUGAUAACUAGCUGUUCGGGCUCUACGAGCUUGAGUGGCGCAGCUAACGCAUUAAGUUAUCCGCCUGGGGAGUACGGUCGCAAGAUUA